rnacentral:rRNA from 1 species
AUGGAGAUCAACAAGGAUGAAGGGAUCAAGAAGGCCAUGGAGGACCAAGUUCCGGCAACAAAAGACACCCUUCAACUUGAUCACAAUCUUCUCACCCCAACAGAAAUCGAAGCUUUCAAGAUGAUUGAGUUAGCUCGUAUACAAAAUAAGUAUCUCACACGUGAAAAUAUUUUGUUGAAGGAGCAUAUCAUCGCACUCAAGGGCAUUAUCCGCAAAUCGGGGCGACUGCUAAGUGCUAACUCUCUCUCUCAUUCUCAUUCUCAUUUUCGUUGGUGCUGA